AGAACAAAUCCCAUCACAAACAUCCCAUCUCGCCCUUCAUUCUUACACUAGGGCAAAUUCUCAAAAAUCUCUUUCCUUCAAACCCCAAAGCCACCUCAAGUAAUGUCUUAGGGAACCUCGAGUGUGAAAACCUUGGGGAAAAAAACCCCUAAGAUCGCUCUCCAGUAGAGGGCAGAUGGGUAUUUAGGAAAGUAAAAGUGCUGAAAUGUGGCCAAACACGCCCAGCUGCUGCUUCCUGCCCCUGAAUGUUUUCACCAGACGAGAUAAGGGAGGAGGAUCCUACUCCUGGUGUAAAUAAAGGUGGUUCCAGUGUGAGUGGCCACUCGUGGGCUUGGCCAGGCCCUGCUCCAGCUCUGGAGACGAUUUUGGAUUUGGCUGAUUGCAAGAGAGGAAUAAUGAGAAUUCCUGCCUGUGCCAAAUCCAGAGUGGAACAGUUUGCUUUGCUCUUUACCCCAGCGUUGAGUGUUUUGCUUUGUGUAAACACUGAGUAAGGAAAUUCCUGGAUAAGCAGGUCUAAGAGAUGUGUAGGUUGCUCCUUAUUUAUUCUAUUUAUUUAUUCUUAUUUAUUCUAUCCCGUAUUAGAUGGAAAUAAAGAGGUUUCCCGUUGUUCCUUGAGCCUUAUUUUGACUGGGAAAACCCAUUUAACUCGGUUCUAGGUGCAAAUUCUUUUUGAGUAAUCACAGUUUUUCUAAUAACUCAUCAAGUUAAUUUUGUGCAUUUGGGGAAACCCAAACUGCUGUUUCUCUGCAGGCUUGAGGCUGCUGAAAACUUUUUGGGAAGCUUUUUGGCCUCAUCCUGCAAACACUUCUGCAUGAGUCUCAAGCCACACGCUCCAGCCUUUCUAUUCAAGGAAGAGAGAAGGAAACCCUGACUCUUUUCUCUGCUCUUUGCUUCAUUUCCCAAGGCAAGUAGGGGAGGAAGUGGUGGAAACAGAAGGUGUGGGUUGUGCCACCCGAGUGCCCCUGUGCCCAGAGCCAGAGUGGGCAGCAAGGUGAGGAGCAGCCAGGUUCAAUUCCAGAAGGAAAAAUUCCAGCUCCCAAGUGCCACUGUCCCUGCCAGGAGGAGCAGCCAGGUUCAAUUCCAGAAGGAAACAUCCCAGCUCCUGAGUGCCACUGUCCCCAGAGCCACCUGUCCCUGCCAGGAGGAGCAGGGUGAGGAGCAGCCAGGUUUAAUUCCAGAAGGAAACAUCCCAGCUCCUGUGAGCUCCUGGGGUCUGAGGGCUGAGUGUCCGUGGGGCCACUUCAACCACUCUGGAAUAUUUUGGGUUUUUCCUGGAAACCCAAGGCCCUCAGGAGGAGAAAUGCCAAUUUGGCUGGUGUCUCUUUGGCAGAGGCUGUUCCUUUAUCGUGUGGGGAACGUCCCAGACUGGGAUUAAAUCAUCCAACCUAUGAAACCCCAACCUGUUACUCCAUCAUUUACCCAAAACUUCAUACUGGCCCAUUAAUAUCAGCCUCAAUCCACCUUGUGCUGCCAUUAAAGUGCUCUGUAAUCUCAUUAUUUUAUGAGACAGAUACAAAUGGUGUCCAGCAAAGCAGGGCACAGCUCCAGAGCUCUGCUUUGUUUCCUCUGGGGAUGUCAUUCCCCAGCCUUGCCUACUACCGCCAAUUCUUCCAGCGUGUCCCAGGGAUACUCGAUUAUUUGGAUUAACUUCGGGGCAGGAAAAGAGGAUUAGGGAGCAGAGCAGCUCUGAGAGACGGGUUACAUCAGUUCUGUCUGUUUACAGACUUGCCCUGCUGAAAAACAAUUUUCUAAAGCUGUUAAUUAUUCUGAAUUAUUUGCCAAAUUACUACAAAUCAUUCCUGGCUCAGGACCCACCAGGAAGACAAAGGGGGAACUGUUUAGGUGGUGCUACCUUCAGUCACUCACAUGAGCUUUCUCCUCCCUGCUUGGCCAAACUCUGCCUUCCCAAAGCAAAAACUCAUGUUUGCAGAUUUAAAAUAUUUAUUCUCUGGAAAUUUGCAGCUCUUGCAUGUGCUUAAAGCUGCUUGGGAGCUUAGAGACAGGAAUUAUCCAGGAGAGCUUUCUGUUCCUCUCCUCACCCUGUCUGGGCUGGAAGUUCCAUUAGUGAGCCUCAAAAUUACACUUUUUUUGUCUCAAGUGAUUCUUUUUAAGAUGAAAAUGUUUGACUUUGGAUUCUGCCAGCCCCACUGGGGUGAAACACUUGGAUAUUUCAGACUUGGGAUUGCCAAGGAGUGGAACAAAGAGUGGAUGACCCAAGGAACACGAGGUGGAUACUCCUGAGCCCAGGGGUCUCUCUGUGCCAACCCUGGAGCUCAGGGGUUUUACUGGGAUGAUUUAGGAUUCCCAGUAGGAUCUGGGAAUAAUCCAGGUCUCAAUAAGGCAGGAAUUGCUCCUCAUCCCUCUUGCAGGAGGAAAAAUAUUAUUCUCAUUUCCCUCCCGACUUUUCAUCACUGGGAACUCUUUAAUUUUCUUUGCACCUUGGUUCCACCUCUUUCCAACCUUUGAAAUUCAUCCAGAUGGGAUCUCACCUGCCUUCCCACAUUUCCCUACGUGCUGUGGGGACACCCACCAUGAUGACACUGUCACCUCCUAAUCCUGGCUUUUAUAAAGGAACAUUUCUCUUUUUUCCUCUCUUUUUGGUUAAAUCCGGGGCUGUUCCUGCAGUGCCUCCUCCAGCCUCCACUUCCUGCCAUGCCACAAAGUUCUUUGAAACCUUGACCUGCAGAGAUCCAGAGCUUUCCCCCAAAAUUCCACCCAGCCAGGUGAUCCAGGCUUAUUCUGGGAUGUCAAUACCUGCAUUGUUGGGAAUGGCAAGAAAUCCCACCCAGCUGGAUUAGUGCUGAGCUGCCUGGGAAUUCCAGCCUGAACACAGACCUUGUGCAAGAACCUGCAAAUCCCAGGGACCAAAACUGGAAUGGCAACAAAAAUAUUCUCUUGGUGUGUUGCAUUGGGUGUGGAAGGGAUUUUUUCCCUUUUAUCCAUGAUUUUCUUCUUCCAAAAUUGGUAAUUUUUUGAUUGAGGCAACAUCAGAUGUUUGUCACGUGGAGCAUCUCACACCCUC